GGCUAUGAGCCCAUUGGUUGGGUAACCGGUUUGCAAAACCGUGUCCUUGGGGGUUCGAAUCCGCCCUUAGCCU
rnacentral:tRNA from 1 species